GAUGAACGCUGGCGGCGUGCCUAAUACAUGCAAGUCGAGCGAACAGAUGAGGCGCUUGCUCCUCUGACGUUAGCGGCGGACGGGUGAGUAACACGUGGAUAACCUACCUAUAAGACUGGGAUAACUUCGGGAAACCGGCGCUAAUACCGGAUAAUCUAUUGAACCGCAUGGUUCAAUAGUGAAAGACGGUUUUGCUGUCACUUAUAGAUGGAUCCGCGCCGCAUUGGCUGGUUGGUGAGGUAAAGGCCUACCAAGGCAACGAUGCGUAGCCGACCUGUGUGAGUGGUAGCCGACACUGGAGGUUGGCCGCCGUCCAUGCGCCUGCGGGAGGCACCAGUCUGCUAUGUGCCGCAAUGGGCGAAAGCCUUACGCAGCAACGCCGCGUGUGUUAUGACGGUCCUCGGAUCGUAAUACUCUCUUAUUGGUGAAGAACAAAUGUGGAAGGAACUAUGCACUUCUUGACGGUACCUAGUCAGAAAGCCACGGCUAACUACGUG
rnacentral:rRNA from 1 species